AGAGAACCCCAUAGAAGGAGCUAGGGAGAUAGAGGAGACAGGACACCAGGGGAACAAGACCUAAAACAACUGAGCAAAGAGUUCACAUGAACUCACAGAGCCUGAAGCAGCUUACACAGGACCGACAAAGGGCUAUCUGAAGCAAGCAGUUGGGUAAUUUCAUCCUUUGGACCAGAGGAGAAAAAUAUCUCUGAGGCUGCUCGGAUGCUGCCUUCUCUGAUCCUCAUAGUGGAAAUUCAUCCCCUGCCUUCCUGUCCUCUGCAUCAUGGCCACCCCAGCAGCAAUCAUCUUGUUCCUUUCUCUAUGGUGUUUGAAGCAGCUGUGCCCUUGUGAUCCCGGAUGUUUCCUGACUUCCAGGACUGAUCUUGUUCAUCUAUGUAACUUCCAAGGCUCAAGAGAGACUUUGAGAACUACUUUCUUCAGAUGGUCCAUGUCUUUGUGAGCCAUUCUCCAAACAUGUUGUCACAGCCACCCAAGGGCUGAGAAGGGACACUUUCGCCAUGUCUAUUGCUAUCAUUUCCCCGCAUAGCCAUCAAAAACCGUCCCUUUCCUGGGCUUCCUAUAAAUCGUAACACAAUGAUUCAUGUCCUAACUCACGAUUUCUGAGUUGCUGGUGGUUUGAUGAGUUUAUUACCCCGUGUCUUCACUGCCUUGGGAUCCAUUUCAGCCCACUGCAGUUUUGUUGCAUUUACCUUUCUAAGAAUGUCCUUGCCUGUGCUUUUAAAUCAAUUCUUGUGUUCACAAGAAUCCAGUUCCUUCC